rnacentral:rRNA from 1 species
GACGGAGGGUGCAAGCGUUGCUCGGAAUCACUGGGCGUAAAGGGUGCGUAGGCGGCGCGGUAAGUCGGGUGUGAAAUCUCGGAGCUCAACUCCGAAACUGCAUUCGAUACUGCCGUGCUUGAGGACUGGAGAGGAGACUGGAAUUUACGGUGUAGCGGUGAAAUGCGUAGAUAUCGUAAGGAAGACCAGUGGCGAAGGCGGGUCUCUGGACAGUUCCUGACGCUGAGGCACGAAGGUCAGGGGAGCAAACGGG